ACGUAUUUCACGAGGAACUCACCGAAAUUGAACUCCCUGACUUUCCGCUUUCCUGCAUUGGCGGGUUCUGGAACUGGUGGCUGUGGUAGCUCGUUGGUCUUUGGUCUCUUAGAAGGUGGAGAAUAAUCAUCAUCUUGAAAAAGAAAAUGGUCAUUACUGAAGGAACCGUCUUAAGAGUUACAGCCACCUCCUGGUCAAUUCCCUACAUUCAAAAGCUAAAGAAAUGGGCUCAGGAAUGUUAUUUGAUUGGACUGUGUUGCCUCUCUGGACAGUGCAGCUGAGAUCAGACUGCGCAUGCGUGUGACUCUACUGGCCUACCAGAGUGCUUCUCCUAAAGGGUUGCAAGAUCAUAGUUCUCGGGGUGUUUAAAGGCAACGCCUUCCGGAAGCCCCUGCACCACCACAGCCGACUGGUCUCGUAACAUCUUCUCAUACGGAACAGGUACCACUGUGGAUUUGCCUAAAGCUUUCCCUGGGGGGAGGUGAAAAGCAGAGGAACAUCACUCAAUGCCCAGGCCUAUCCAACUAUGAGAUGACAGAGCAGAAGGUCUCACCAUGGACUCGAGAGCUGACAUGAGGAAUGUCACCACCAUCCUGCUCUCCGAGGACUCCUCAUCUUCAACGGGCAGGGUGGACAUUGCAACUUGGGCCAUGAUCCCUGUGCAAGACAAGUAAGAAGGAAGUGAGUGGUAGAAAUCCAGUGUCCUAAACCCACAUCCAGAGGUGCAAGGGUCCCUCACGGGCUGCCAAAUUUACAGUUUUCCUGCACAAGAGAAGAAACUAAGUAUUUGAUUUGCUGGAAACUCUCAUAAGACAGAGAAUCCAUUCCCUAA